rnacentral:rRNA from 1 species
UAACAUCCGGAAACGGGUGCUAAUACCGCAUAGUUUUCUUGAUCGCAUGAUUGAGAAAGGAAAGACGGCCUUUGUGCUGUCGCUUAUGGAUGGACCCGCGGCGUAUUAGUUAGUUGGUGAGGUAACGGCUCACCAAGACGAUGAUACGUAGCCGACCUGAGAGGGUGAUCGGCCACAUUGGGACUGAGACACGGCCCAAACUCCUACGGGAGGCAGCAGUAGGGAAUCUUCCGCAAUGGACGAAAGUCUGACGGAGCAACGCCGCGUGAGUGAAAAGUAAGGUUUUCGGAUACGUAAAACUCUGUUGUCAGAGAAGAACAAGUUGGAGAGUAACUGCUCCAGCCUUGACGGUAUCUGACCAGAAAGCCACGGCUAACUACGUGCCAGCCGCGGC